rnacentral:rRNA from 1 species
UACGUAAGGGGCGAGCGUUGUUCGGAAUUAUUGGGUGUAAAGGGCGCGUAGGCGGUUUGACGAGUCUGGUGUGUAAGGCUACAGCUUAACUGUGGUUUUGCACUGGAAACUGUCAGACUUGAGUUUAGGAGGGGGAGCUGGAAUUCCAGGUGUAGGGGUGAAAUGCUUAGAUAUCGUCAAGAACACCGAUAGUGUAGACAGCUUACUAGACUUCAACUGACGCUGAGGCACGAAAGUGUGGGGAUCAAACAGG